rnacentral:rRNA from 1 species
ACUCCUACGGGAGGCAGCAGUGGGGAAUUUUGGACAAUGGGCGCAAGCCUGAUCCAGCAAUGCCGCGUGAGUGAAGAAGGCCUUCGGGUUGUAAAGCUCUUUUGUCAGGGAAGAAACGGUGAAGGCUAAUAUCUAUUGCUAAUGACGGUACCUGAAGAAUAAGCACCGGCUAACUACGUGCCAGCAGCCGCGGUAAUACGUAGGGUGCAAGCGUUAAUCGGAAUUACUGGGCGUAAAGCGUGCGCAGGCGGUUUUGUAAGUUUGUCGUGAAAUCCCCGGGCUCAACCUGGGAAUGGCGAUGAAGACUGCAAGGCUAGAAUCUGGCAGAGGGGGGUAGAAUUCCACGUGUAGCAGUGAAAUGCGUAGAGAUGUGGAGGAACACCGAUGGCGAAGGCAGCCCCCUGGGUCAAGAUUGACGCUCAUGCACGAAAGCGUGGGGAGCAAACAGGAUUAGAUACCCUGGUAGUCCACGCCCUAAACGAUGUCUACUAGUUGUCGGGUUUUAAUUAACUUGGUAACGCAGCUAACGCGUGAAGUAGACCGCCUGGGGAGUACGGUCGCAAGAUUAAAACACAAAGGAAUUGACGGGGACCCCCACAAGCGGUGGAGCAUGUGG